rnacentral:rRNA from 1 species
AGUGAACGCUGGCGGUAGGCCUAACACAUGCAAGUCGAACGGCAGCACAGUAAGAGCUUGCUCUUACGGGUGGCGAGUGGCGGACGGGUGAGGAAUACAUCGGAAUCUACUUUUUCGUGGGGGAUAACGUAGGGAAACUUACGCUAAUACCGCAUACGACCUACGGGUGAAAGCAGGGGAUCUUCGGACCUUGCGCGAUUGAAUGAGCCGAUGUCGGAUUAGCUAGUUGGCGGGGUAAAGGCCCACCAAGGCGACGAUCCGUAGCUGGUCUGAGAGGAUGGUCAGCCACACGGGAAGGGAGACACGGUCCAGACGCCUACGGGAGGGAGCAGUGGGGAAUAUUGGACAAUGGGCGCAAGUCUGAUCCAGCCAUACCGCGUGGGUGAAGAAGGCCUUCGGGUUGUAAAGCCCUUUUGUUGGGAAAGAAAAGCAGCAGGUUAAUACCCCGCUGUUCUGACGGUACCCAAAGAAUAAGCACCGGCUAACUUCGUG